AACCCAUGAUGAGGACGCAUGCUGACCCGCUCUUUAAAUCUUUCCCAUCUUACAUGAAAGAUCUCAUCAGCUUUCUGCAUAAAUUGACUGAUUUGUUCCUGCAAAU